AAAGGGAGAUUAAUACCGCAUAAGAUUGUAGCUUCGCAUGAAGUAGCAAUUAAAGGAGCAAUCCGCUAUGAGAUGGGCCCGCGGCGCGUUAGCUAGUUGGUGAGGUAACGGCUCACCAAGGCGACGAUGCGUAGCCGACCUGAGAGGGUGAUCGGCCACAUUGGGACUGAGACACGGCCCAGACUCCUACGGGAGGCAGCAGUGGGGAAUAUUGCACAAUGGGGGAAACCCUGAUGCAGCAACGCCGCGUGAGUGAUGACGGCCUUCGGGUUGUAAAGCUCUGUCUUCAGGGACGAUAAUGACGGUACCUGAGGAGGAGGCCACGGCUAACUACGUGCCAGCAGCCGCGGUAAUACGUAGGUGGCGAGCGUUGUCCGGAUUUACUGGGCGUAAAGGGAGCGUAGGCGGACUUUUAAGUGAGAUGUGAAAUACCCGGGCUCAACUUGGGUGCUGCAUUUCAAACUGGAAGUCUAGAGUGCAGGAGAGGAGAAUGGAAUUCCUAGUGUAGCGGUGAAAUGCGUAGAGAUUAGGAAGAACACCAGUGGCGAAGGCGAUUCUCUGGACUGUAACUGACGCUGAGGCUCGAAAGCGUGGGGAGCAAACAGGAUUAGAUACCCUAGUAGUCCACGCCAUAAACGAUGAAUACUAGGUGUAGGGGUUGUCAUGACCUCUGUGCCGCCGCUAACGCAUUAAGUAUUCCGCCUGGGGAGUACGGUCGCAAGAUUAAAACUCAAAGGAAUUGACGGGGGCCCGCACAAGCAGCGGAGCAUGUGGUUUAAUUCGAAGCAACGCGAAGAACCUUACCUGGACUUGACAUCCCCUG
rnacentral:rRNA from 1 species